rnacentral:rRNA from 1 species
AAUCAACGCUGGCGGCGUGCCUCAGACAUGCAAGUCGAACGCGAAAAUCCCCUUCGGGGGAUGAGUAGAGUGGCGCACGGGUGAGUAACACGUAGGUAAUCUACCUUCGGGUGGGGAAUAACAGCCGGAAACGGCUGCUAAUACCGCAUAAUGCAGCGGCACCAGAUGGUGAGCAGUUGUUAAAGCGGGGGACCCUUUACGGGGCCUCGCGCCUGAAGAGGAGCCUGCGGCGGAUUAGCUAGUUGGUAGGGUAAUGGCUUACCAAGGCGACGAUCCG